AAACAUAUACUGAAGGAGACGUUCCGCGCACCAUAGUCGUAUCAUGAGAUGAUCGGACAGCGAGAUGAAGUGUGGUACCGCAGACGUCCGUUGCACAAGCUGGUACCUUCCGUGCCGUGGUCGGAACGGUUUCAGCUCGUCCGGUGCUCCACGACACGCUGGUCAGGGCAGCUGCGCGUCAGAGGAGGCUUCGGCGACGACCAUCGGCGGGGCACGCUGCGUCCCCUCAUGGGCCACCACGACAAGAACGUGCCGAUGGAGACGUUGUUGAUGAAGAUGAGGGUCGACGAGGUGGUACACCGGAGGGUACCGAAGUAGCAGUAGCGAGGAGUCCAUAUAAGUAGUUCGAUUAUAGCCGCACCGUUACUAGAAGAAGAAGAGUUGUCUACUUGUGACUUGAGCUCAUGCAUGUUAACAUCGACAUGUGCCAUAGGCCUGGGCUGUGGUGGCCGCUCUAUUUGAGCCGCCGGCGGCAGUAGCUGACCGAGCGGCGGCCGGAGAGAAGGUUCGAGGGUGGACCACAAGCUGGCUUGGAUUGACGCCACAGGUAGAGGCCGGUGUCGGCGCCGCCGUUCCACCGGAAGCGCGAGCGCGACCCGGUGCGGUUCUGGAGGGACGGAGACCGCCGGGAGUAGCGGCAGCUGGGGCACCUGCCGUGGCCGUACCCGUUGGUCUGCGGGGGCGGUUAGGAUCGGAUGUUCGGCUUGCGCGACGCGCAGGGCCGCGGCCAGUACCAGUAGCCGUGUCCGGAGCCGCUCGACGGAGCGUUGCGGGACAAGGGCGGCACGCGCGGAGACCCGCACUCGGUGCGCCUUAAGAUGCUACUCACGCGCCGCGGCCGCACGGUGGAGCACCGCUCCCUGAUGCCCGUGUGACUGUACUACCUGCUGCACUGCUGCCCGCGGUUCCCCGACCGGUGCGCGCGGGACACGUUCUCGCCGCCCCGGUCCCGCGGGUACUCCGCCAAGCAGCGGCCGCGGUACCACCGCAAGGAGUUCUUCACCCAUGUCCCCUUCGGACUCACCAACCUACGGUAAUCCCUCGUUUGACACCAGCGCGGACACCACGACAGGCACCACCUCAAGGCACUACUCAUCGGUCCUAUCCUACGGAACAGUCAACAGUAAUCUCAAAUUAGCUAUCGCCACUGAGUAUGAGGCAUACAAGUAUCCUCAUGUAGUCUCGUACAUUUCACAAAUGACUUUGACUGUUAAAUGUUGAACUAAACGGUCAGAGAACAUUAACGGCAUAUAUGUAUAACAAAUCGUGAGGAGGAGUUAGUGUUGAUAGAUACAAUUCGUGUAUACCC
rnacentral:rRNA from 1 species